AUUCUUGGAGCAGAUAAUUUCGCAGUGUCUCUGUAGCGCCUCCAGCUGGAAAAAUUUGGCUGCAGACAGAAGCUGCAACAAAACCACAGGUCUGUUUGCUAGAAGAGAUUUGAACCUUGAGAGGAAGAAAAAACAGACAUAAGAGGAAUUACAGGAUAAAACUCACUAUAGUUCAGUCUAAGUCACUUCAUGACAGGACUGAGUGUCAAUGUAACAUGACACAGGAGUGAAAUGGACAUCCUGCCCCAGCGGCAGAAAAAACAGUUUCAUUUCAGCAGGAAGAAAUGUACGGUACUGAAAUCAUAUCUUGGCAGCAUAUCUACACAACAUGUUGAGUGUUUGGUAAUUUCAGUAUGAAUUUAUUUAUCUUUUCAUAUUAAAAUGUACACAAAUACACAAUUGUGUUCAUAUGUGACAAUAAACAGAAAAAUCUUACUACAUCUACAAAUUGUACUGUACUGAUCUAUUUUGAAAAAUGAUGCA